AACGAACGCUGGCGGCAGGCCUAACACAUGCAAGUCGAACGUGAAGCCACCUUCGGGUGGUGGAAAGUGGCAGACGGGUGAGUAACGCGUGGGAACGUGCCUUUCGGUUCGGAAUAACCCAGGGAAACUUGGGCUAAUACCGGAUACGCCCUCCGGGGGAAAGAUUUAUCGCCGAAAGAUCGGCCCGCGUCGGAUUAGCUAGUUGGUGGGGUAAUGGCUCACCAAGGCGACGAUCCGUAGCUGGUCUGAGAGGAUGACCAGCCACACUGGGACUGAGACACGGCCCAGACUCCUACGGGAGGCAGCAGUGGGGAAUAUUGGACAAUGGGCGAAAGCCUGAUCCAGCCAUGCCGCGUGGGUGAAGAAGGCCCUAGGGUUGUAAAUCCCUUUCAGCGGGGAAGAUAAUGACGGUACCCGCAGAAGAAGCCCCGGCUAACUCCGUGCCAGCCGCCGCGGUAACAC
rnacentral:rRNA from 1 species